UACGUAGGGGGCAAGCGUUGUCCGGAAUCAUUGGGCGUAAAGAGCGCGUAGGCGGCCCUGUAAGUCCGCUGUGAAAGUCAAGGGCUCAACCCUUGAAUGCCGGUGGAUACUGCAGGGCUAGAGUCCGGAAGAGGCGAGUGGAAUUCCUGGUGUAGCGGUGAAAUGCGCAGAUAUCAGGAGGAACACCUAUUGCGAAGGCAGCUCGCUGGGACGUAACUGACGCCUGAGACGCGAAAGCGUGGGGAGCAAACAGG
rnacentral:rRNA from 1 species